rnacentral:rRNA from 1 species
GCGCGAAAACUUUACAAUGCUGGCAACAGCGAUAAGGGAACCUCGAGUGCCAGGUUACAAAUCUGGCUGUCGAGAUGCCUAAAAAGCAUUUCAUAGCAAGGGCCGGGCAAGACCGGUGCCAGCCGCCGCGGUAACACCGGCGGCUCGAGUGGUAACCGUUAUUAUUGGGUCUAAAGAGUCUGUAGCCGGCCGGAUAAGUCUCUUGAGAAAUCUGGCAGCUUAACUGUCAGGCUUUCAGGAGAUACUGUCUGGCUCGAGGCCGGGAGAGGUGGGAGGUACUUCAGGGGUAGGGGUGAAAUCUUGUAAUCCUUGAAGGACCACCAGUGGCGAAGUCGUCUCACCAGAACGGACCUGACGGCAAGGGACGAAAGCUAGGGGCACGAACCG